rnacentral:rRNA from 1 species
ACUAGCUGUUCUUCCCUAACAACAGAAUUUUACGACCCGAAGGCCUUCAUCAUUCACGCGGCAUUGCUCGGUCAGGCUUUCGCCCAUUGCCGAAAAUUCCCUA